CAGUCGCCACGGUAAUACGAAGGGUGCAAGCGUUACUCGGAAUUACUGGGCGUAAAGCGUGCGUAGGUGGUGGUUUAAGUCCGUUGUGAAAGCCCUGGGCUCAACCUGGGAAUUGCAGUGGAUACUGGGUCACUAGAGUGUGGUAGAGGAUAGUGGAAUUUCCGGUGUAGCAGUGAAAUGCGUAGAGAUCGGAAGGAACAUCUGUGGCGAAGGCAGCCAUCUGGCCUAAUACUGACGCUGAGGUACGAAAGCAUGGGGAGCAAACAGGAUUAGAUACCCCAGUAGUCCCUGUCUCUUAUAC
rnacentral:rRNA from 1 species